GGGUGUGAGGGUGAUCUGGCUGCGACAUCUGUCAACCCAUUGAUGGCCAGUGUUACUUCAGCUGAUCUGGCAGGCUGGGCAGGUGUCCCUGUCCUUGCUCACCGCUCCAAGUGCAUUCUUCCCAAAGCUGUGCACUCGGUCGAAGAGGACGACCAUUCCCUGACAGAGGAGGACUAGGUUUGCUCAAGGAUAUGUGACUAGCUGUGCUCCGCUGCUAGAACCUCCAAACUCUCAAAGCCCAAUACAUAUACAGUAUUUAGGAAAUGCAGUGCAGCUCACAACUAUUCCACUACCAGCU
rnacentral:snRNA from 1 species